UUAUCAUAUCCUUCAUUUAUUCUUCUCUCAGAAAUGAAAAAAAGACAAAACAAAACCCAAAACAGACAAAACAAACAAGAAGCAAAGAACAAAAGAAGCUGGAAGAAAGGAUUGAUGAUGAAGUACAGGAAUGGAGAAAUGUGCUAUGAAGCACGGAGAAAAGCAUUCCAGCUAAAUGAAAGGGAAAUACUGAAUGAAAGAUGGGAAUGCAGGGUAAGCAUGAAGAAAUGGUCAGAACUGGAUACCAAGGCAGAGGAAUUGAGCUCCCAGCUGGAGAGCAGUUGGAACACCUAAGAGCUCACUGUAGUUGCAGAUACACAAGCAAUUACAAUCCAGCAACAUGGUGAGUGUACGAUAAAUGGAAUUAUAGAAUAUCAUUCCAGGGUAGAAUUGGAAGGCUCUCCCCCAGGUGGAGAAGAUUAAAAGGCAAUGAUAUGGAUGUCUUUUUGGAGGAUAUUAAACAUGAUCAUUAAAAAGAGUCUAUCAGGAUUUCCCUGAUGGCCCAGUGGUUAAGACUCCAUGGUUCUACUGCAGGGGGCACAGGCUUGAUCCCUGGUCAGGGAAGUUCUACAUGGUGUGGCAAAAAAAAAAAAAAAGUCCAUCAAUCUAGUGCCAGAAUUAUUAAUUCUCACCUCUCCCCAUUUCAGGAGAAGACAAUGGCAACCCACUCCAGUACUCUUGCCUGGAAAAUCCCAUGGACGGAAAAGCCUGGUAGGCUGCAGUCCAUGGGGUCACGAAGAGUCAGACACGACUGAACGACUUCACUUUCACUUUUCACUUUCAUGCAUUGGAGAAGGAAAUGGCAACCCACUCCAGUGUUCUUGCCUUGAGAAUUCCAGGGACAGGGGAGCCUGGUGGGUUGCCAUCUAUGGGGUCGCACAGAGUCAGACAUUACUGAAGUAACUUAGCAGCAGCAGCAGCUCUCCCAUUUCAAACAUAUUUCUUCCUUAUUGAACCUAAUUACACCAUUAUUCUUUUAGUUGCUAAAGUAAAAAAUCUAGGAGUCCUAGGAAGAGGCAGAAGGAAUUCUUUAGGAUUGGUAGAAAUAUUCAGUAUUCCUAUACUGUGGUUUGUUCACAGGUGUAUACAUCUGUCUACUUGCAUCCAGUUGAGCACUUUAAAAUGGUAAAGUUUAAUCAAUAAAGUUGAUUGAAAAUCUAGAAGUUAUCCUUGA
rnacentral:lncRNA from 1 species